rnacentral:rRNA from 1 species
UACGGUAGGGUGCAAGCGUUGUCCGGAAUUAUUGGGCGUAAAGAGCUCGUAGGCGGUUUGUCGCGUCUGCCUGUGGAAAACCCGAGGCUCAACCUCGGGCCUGCAGUGGGUACGGGCAGACUAGAGUGCGGUAGGGGAGAUUGGAAUUCCUGGUGUAGCGGUGGAAUGCGCAGAUAUCAGGAGGAACACCGAUGGCGAAGGCAGAUCUCUGGGCCGUAACUGACGCUGAGGUGACGAAAGCGUGGGGAGCAAACAGG